rnacentral:misc_RNA from 1 species
UCACCGUUGGUGAACCAGCGGAGGGAUCAUUAUCGAGUUUAUAACUCCCAAACCCUAUGUGAACUUACCACUUGUUGCUUCGGCGCGCGCUUCGGUGCCGCCGAGGACACUUAAACUCUUUGUUUUUAUAAGCAUUUCUGAGUGGCCGAAAGGCAAAAUACAAAUGAAUCAAAACUUUCAACAACGGAUCUCUUGGUUCUG